ACGCACGCUGGCGGCAUGCCUAACACAUGCAAGUCGAACGAUGCCUUCGGGCAUAGUGGCGCACGGGUGCGUAACGCGUGGGAAUCUGCCUUUCGGUUCGGAAUAACUCAGGGAAACUUGAGCUAAUACCGGAUAACGUCGCAAGACCAAAGAUUUAUCACCGAAAGAUGAGCCCGCGUAGGAUUAGCUAGUUGGUGAGGUAAAGGCUCACCAAGGCGACGAUCCUUAGCUGGUCUGAGAGGAUGAUCAGCCACACUGGGACUGAGACACGGCCCAGACUCCUACGGGAGGCAGCAGUGGGGAAUAUUGGACAAUGGGCGAAAGCCUGAUCCAGCAAUGCCGCGUGAGUGAUGAAGGCCUUAGGGUUGUAAAGCUCUUUUACCCGGGAAGAUAAUGACGGUACCGGGAGAAUAAGCCCCGGCUAACUCCGUG
rnacentral:rRNA from 1 species